GAUGAACGCUGGCGGCGUGCCUAAUACAUGCAAGUCGAGCGAACAGACGAGGAGCUUGCUCCUCUGACGUUAGCGGCGGACGGGUGAGUAACACGUGGAUAACCUACCUAUAAGACUGGGAUAACUUCGGGAAACCGGAGCUAAUACCGGAUAAUAUAUUGAACCGCAUGGUUCAAUAGUGAAAGACGGUUUUGCUGUCACUUAUAGAUGGAUCCGCGCCGCAUUAGCUAGUUGGUAAGGUAACGGCUUACCAAGGCAACGAUGCGUAGCCGACCUGAGAGGGUGAUCGGCCACACUAGAACUGAGACACGGUCCAGACUCCUAAGGGAGGCAGGAGUAGGGAAUCUUCCGGAAUGGGCGAAAGCCUGACGGAGCAACGCCGCGUGAGUGAUGAAGGUCUUCGGAUCGUAAAACUCUGUUAUUAGGGAAGAACAAAUGUGUAAGUAACUAUGCACGUCUUGACGGUACCUAAUCAGAAAGCCACGGCUAACUACGUG
rnacentral:rRNA from 1 species